rnacentral:tRNA from 1 species
GUCCCUGUAGAGCAAUGGGUAGCUCGUUGGACCUCUAAUUCAAAGGUCGUGGGUUCGAAUCUCACCUGAGAUG